UACGAAGGGUGCAAGCGUUAAUCGGAAUUACUGGGCGUAAAGCGCGCGUAGGUGGUUUGUUAAGUUGAAUGUGAAAGCCCCCGGCGUCAACCUGGGAACGUGCGAUCCAAAACUAGGCGAAGACUAGAGUAUGGCAGAGGGUGGUGGAAUUUCCUGUGUAGCGGUGAAAUGCGUAGAUAUAGGAAGGAACACCAGUGGCGAAGGCGACCACCUGGGCUAAUACUGACACUGAGGUGCGAAAGCGUGGGGAGCAAACAGGAUUAGAUACCCCUGUAGU
rnacentral:rRNA from 1 species